UAGAAUGGUCUUGUUUAUAUCUAUAGGAAUCUUGCUUGGAUUUUGAUAGGAAUUGCAUUAAAUUUUCAUAUAAGAUCAGGGGAAAUUGCCAUCUUUACUAUGUUGAGUCUUCUAAUCCAUGAACACAGUUUGUCUCUCCAUUUAUUUAGAUCUUAUAUUCUUUCACCGGUGUUUUGUAGUUUUUAGCAUGUAAGUCUUGUACCUGUUUUUGUGAUGUUUACACCUAAAUAUUUCAAUUUUUUGAGUGAUUAUAAAUGGUAGCUUUUAAAAUUUAUUUUGAGAGAGAGAGAGCAUGUGAAUGAGCAGAGAGAGAGGGGAGAGAGAAUCCCAAUCAGGCUUCCCCAACAAGGGGCUCCACCUCAUGACUGUGAGAUCAUGACCUGAGCUGAAGUUAAGAGUAGACACUUAACCCAGGCACCCCAAUGGUAUUUUAUUUUAUUUUACUAUUAUUAUUUUUAAAUUUUAUUUAUUUUUGAGAGAGAGAAGGAACACAAGCAAGGGAAGGGCAGAGAGAGAGGAAGACGGAGGAUACAAAGCAGGCUGUGUGCUGACAGCAGACAGACCAUUGUGGGGCUUGAACUCAAAAACCUCAAGAUCAUGACCUGAGCCAAAGUCGGGUGCUUAAAUUACUGAGCCACCCAGGUGCCCCAUGUUGGAACCCACAUGUUAAUUGAUAGUAGAUAGAAACAGUUGACUUUAAUAUGCUGAUUUUGUAUCCUGUGACCUAAAGGAACCCACUUAUUAGUUGUAGGAGGUUUUUUGUACAUUCCUUAGAAUUUUCUAUGUAGACAAUUAUGUCAUCUGCAAAUAGGGACAGUUUUAUUUAUUCAUUUUUUUUCUUGAUCUGUAUGCUUUUUUCUUUUCUUUUCUUGCUUUAUUGCUCUGGCUAGAAACUCUAGCACUGUGUUGCAUGAGAAUGGUGAGAAUGGAUGUUUUUACCUUGUUCCUGAUCUUAGGUGAAAAGCAUUAUCAUUCACCAUUAAGUUUAAUUUUAUCUAGGGGCAGCUGGGUGGCUCAGUCAGGUAAGCAUCUGACUCUUGAUUUCGCAUCAGGUCAUGAUCUCAAAGUUUGUGAGAUCGAGGCCUGCAUCAGGCUCUGUACUAACAGAGCUUGGGAUUCUCUCUCCCUCUCUCUCUGCCAGUCCCUGCUCACGAGCACACAUGCAUAUACUCUCUCUCUGUCUCAGAAUAAACAUAAAAAAAAAAGUAUAAUGUUAUCUGUAGGUUUUUUGUAGAGGCUCUUGAUCAAAUGAAGGAAGUUCCAUUCUAGUCAUGUCUUUCUGAGCAUUUUUAUCGUAAGUGUGUACUAAAUUUUGUCAAAUGAUUUUUCUGCAUCAAUUGAUAUUAUCAUGCAUUUUUCCUCAUUUUUACCCUGUUAAUAUGGCAAAUGACAUUGAUUUUCAAAUAUUAAACCAAUCGCGCAUCCUCCCAGGAAUAAACCCCACCAGUAUGGUCUGUAAUUCUCUAUGUAUAUGUAUAUGUAUGUAUGCAUAUAUGUGUGCAGAUGUAUGUUUACAUGUGUAUAUAUGUGGAUGUCUGAAUUUUGUCAAUAUUUUGUUCAGGAUCUUUAUAUCUGCAUUCAUGAAGUAUAUUGUUCUGUAGUUACCUUUUAAUGUACUGUCUUUGUCUGGUCUGGUGUCAGGGUAAUAGCUUCAUAAAAUGACUUAGAAAGCAUUCCUUCUUCUAUUUUCUGGAAGAAACAAGAAUUUAUGUCUAAUUGGCAUAAGUUCUUCUGGUAGUUGGCACCUGUUUUUUUGUUCAGUUUGAGAUCUUCCUGGUUCUUGGUAUGUUGACUGAAUUUCAGUCGAAAUGGAGACAUUUGAAGUAUUAUGAGACUGUGAGGGGCACCUGGGUGGCUCAGUCGGUUGAGUGUCCAAUUCUUGGUUUCAGCCCAGGUCCCGAUCUUCUGGUUCGUGAAUUUGAGCCCUGUGUCAGGUCCCAAGCUGACAGUGCGGAGCCUGCUUGGGAUUCUCUCUCUCACUCUUUCUCUGCACAUCCCCUGCUCCCUUUCUCUGUCUAUCUAAAUAAGUAAAUAAACUUUAAAAAGAAAAAGACUCUGAAUCUUAUUUAAACCUUCUGAUUUAGCUGGCUUCUUCUGAUAGCACUCCAGCAAGGAAGAGGUGCAGAUGGGAAUGCUACCUCAUUAUUCUCAGGUGGGGGUAGGAGUUCUCUAUUUACAGCUCUGUGGCCUCCUUGUUAUUGCUAGGCAGGGGUAUGUGUUCUGGCUUCCUGCUAGACCUCCACUGAAAUCUCCAUGGCUGGGGUGAGGAGCAGUGCCCUAUUACUGCUCUCCAUGUGACUUCUGUUGACACCAAGGUGGGGUGGAGAAAGUGACCUUGUAGCCAUUGUCCCUGUGCAAUGGUGAAGUUCUUGUAUUUCCACUAGGUCUCCCAUGACACCACCGUAACGGAAAUGGGAAAAACAUCACAUUACUGCAGGAUGGAAGUCCAGGCUCCCCACAUGAUUCAUACGGUCAUUGUGGAGCACGUCAUUUCCUAAUGUGAAGAAACUGAGGCGGAAGUAAUUAAGUGACUUGACCAAGUUCACACAUCAAAAUUUCUUGAAAAGGCCGAGGUCGGGACCAGGCUCUGAUGAAGUCGAUGACUCUCACAGCAGUAAACAAGACUCCUUUGAGAACUGCUGGCACAUAUCAAUUCCUGUUGAUGCUGAGGGCAAUGAGUCAUGACGACGCAUGGUGCACCUUCGGCAGAGCCGCCUGGCCAGGUAUGUUACUGAGUCCAGAGAACCAAACGCUCUGUCCUUGGAGACAAAGUUUUCCUUGACAAAGACAUUUUUUCACCAUUUGGCAAAUGAUGGUGGCUUUUCAAGUUGCCAAAAGGGGAUCCAAAAAAUUGGAAUACUUCUUGACUGGUACCGGUGUGCAAAUAAAGAAUGACAUAGCUGGUUGAAAGGAGAGGCGUCAGCAGUUUCAUCCAGUUGUUUGCCUAUUGAAGGAAAGCAGUUGAGGAGCCGGUUUACGGACUUGUUUCCAGAUAUUAGAAGAAACAUCAGUGAUUCUAAAGGGGAUCCUGCCUUUUGAAAUUGGCAUGUCUUCAGUUUUCGUCCUUUGCCCCAAGCAAUAAACCAUUUCAAAUAUUUCCAGGGUACAUGGCCUCAUUCAGUUUUCUGCAAUUUUGUGUGUGUUUGCUUGGCAUAAAAAAACAGGGAUGUUUUAAGGUUGCCCCAAGACAUAAUGUGCAAGUCCAAUUUUGUUAAAGUUUUGGCGCUUUAAAAUGAAGCAUUUUCUUAUGAAACAAUUUAUCCAAGUCCAAGCAUUUUCCUUUAAAAAUUACUUUAUUUUUAUUUUAUUUAUUUAUUUUUUUAACGUUUAUUUUGAGAGACAGAGAUACACAGAGCGUG